UCAGGAUGAACGCUAGCUACAGGCUUAACACAUGCAAGUCGAGGGCAGCAUUAUCGAAGCUUGCUUUGAUAGAUGGCGACCGGCGCACGGGUGAGUAACGCGUAUCCAACCUUCCCCUUAGUAGGGCAUAGCCCGUAGAAAUGCGGAUUAAUACCCUAUGUUGUAUUAUGAGGACAUCUGAAAGAUACCAAAGGUUUACCGCUAAGGGAUGGGGAUGCGUCUGAUUAGGUUGUUGGCGGGGUAACGGCCCACCAAGCCAUCGAUCAGUAGGGGUUCUGAGAGGAAGGUCCCCCACAUUGGAACUGAGACACGGUCCAAACUCCUACGGGAGGCAGCAGUGAGGAAUAUUGGUCAAUGGGCGAGAGCCUGAACCAGCCAAGUAGCCGUGCAGGAUGACGGCCCUAUGGGUUGUAAACUGCUUUUAUGCGGGGAUAAAGUGAGGGACGUGUCCCUUUUUGUAGGUACCGCAUGAAUAAGGACCGGCUAAUUCCGUGCCAGCCGCAGC
rnacentral:rRNA from 1 species